rnacentral:rRNA from 1 species
UGGGUAGCUAAAUGCGGAAGAGAUAAGUGCUGAAAGCAUCUAAGCACGAAACUUGCCAAGAGAUGAGUCAUCCCUGACUUUAAGUCAGUAAGGGUUGUUGUAGACUACGACGUAGAUAGGUCAGGUGUGUAAGUGUAGUGAUACAUUGAGCUAACAGAUACUAAUUGCCCGAGAGGCUUAACUAUACAACGCUCAAG